rnacentral:rRNA from 1 species
GACGAACGCUGGCGGCGUGCUUAACACAUGCAAGUCGAACGGAAAGGCCCUGCUUUUGUGGGGUGCUCGAGUGGCGAACGGGUGAGUAACACGUGAGUAACCUGCCCUUGACUUUGGGAUAACUUCAGGAAACUGGGGCUAAUACCGGAUAGGAGCUCCUGCUGCAUGGUGGGGGUUGGAAAGUUUCGGCGGUUGGGGAUGGACUCGCGGCUUAUCAGCUUGUUGGGGGGGUAGUGGCUUACCAAGGCUUUGACGGGUAGCCGGCCUGAGAGGGUGACCGGCCCCAUUGGGACUGAGAUACGGCCCAGACUCCUCCGGGAGGCAGCAGUGGGGAAUAUUGCACAAUGGGCGGAAGCCUGAUGCAGCAACGCCGCGUGCGGGAUGACGGCCUUCGGGUUGUAAACCGCUUUCGCCUGUGACGAAGCGUGAGUGACGGUAAUGGGUAAAGAAGCACCGGCUAACUACGUG